rnacentral:rRNA from 1 species
AGGAUGGGAGCUACCAUGCAGUCGAGCGGGGGAGGUAGCUUGCUACUGGACCUAGCGGCGGACGGGUGAGUAAUGCUUAGGAAUCUGCCUAUUAGUGGGGGACAACGUUCCGAAAGGAAUGCUAAUACCGCAUACGUCCUACGGGAGAAAGCAGGGGACCUUCGGGCCUUGCGCUAAUAGAUGAGCCUAAGUCGGAUUAGCUAGUUGGUGGGGUAAAGGCCUACCAAGGCGACGAUCUGUAGCGGGUCUGAGAGGAUGAUCCGCCACACUGGGACUGAGACACGGCCCAGACUCCUACGGGAGGCAGCAGGGGGGAAUAUUGGACAAUGGGGGGAACCCUGAUCCACCCAUGCCGCGUGUGUGAAGAAGGCCUUAUGGUUGUAAAGCACUUUAAGCGGGGAGGAGGCUACUAGUAUUAAUACUUCUGGAUAGUGAACUUUUACCCGCAAAAAAACCACCGGGUUAUUUGUGUUCCAGCACCCGUGAGAAAUACAAAGGGGGGGGGAGCCUGCAAUCCUAAUUUUCCUGCGGUCACAAGCCGGCUCUCUAUGUCCGGCCCUUUUAGAUCCGAAAGUGAAACACCCCCCGGAGUAUAAACAUGGGGGAAAUUGCUUUUUACAUUAUCUAGGAUUGGGCUUACGUUUCGUGGGGAAAAGGGAAUGGGAAGAAAUUUCCCUGUGGUUGGUACCGCGAAACAAUCGCUUUAAUAUUUUUGGGGGGCGGAUCUCCCCCCUGUUGGUAAAAUGGCGACCCCCUCUUGACCCUUAUACCCGUGCCUCUCUAAGGGGUACAUAAUACGAGGGGGGGAGGAACAACCCGGUUUUAAAUAUCCCUCGGGUUGACCCCCCGUCUGAUCACACAAAUUGCAACAUAUCACCCCCUCUGGGGCCCUUA